GACAGAGGUGCCAAGCGUUAGGCGGAAUCACUGGGCUUAAAGCGUGUGUAGGCGGGUCGUUAAGUGGCUUGUGAAAUCCCCCGGCUCAACCGGGGAAUGGCUGGGCAUACUGGCGAUCUUGAGCAGUUCAGGGGCAGAUGGAACAAGUGGUGGAGCGGUGAAAUGCGUAGAUAUCACUUGGAACGCCAAAGGUGAAAACAGUCUGCUGGGAACUUGCUGACGCUGAGACACGAAAGCCAGGGGAGCGAACGGG
rnacentral:rRNA from 1 species